GACGAACGCUGGCGGCAUGCCUAACACAUGCAAGUCGAACGAGAUCUUCGGGUCUAGUGGCGCACGGGUGCGUAAUGCGUGGGAAUCUGCCCUUUGGUUCGGAAUAACAGUUGGAAACGACUGCUAAUACCGGAUGAUGACGAAAGUCCAAAGAUUUAUCGCCAGAGGAUGAGCCCGCGUAGGAUAGCUAGUUGGUGUGGUAAAGGCGCACCAAGGCGACGAUCCUUAGCUGGUCUGAGAGGAUGAUCAGCCACACUGGGACUGAGACACGGCCCAGACUCCUACGGGAGGCAGCAGUGGGGAAUAUAGGACAAUGGGCGAAAGCCUGAUCCAGCAAUGCCGCGUGAGUGAUGAAGGCCUUAGGGUUGUAAAGCUCUUUUACCCGGGAUGAUAAUGACAGUACCGGGAGAAUAAGCUCCGGCUAACUCCGUGCCAGCCGCCGCCGUAA
rnacentral:rRNA from 1 species